CUUCUUGCUACUUCAAUUCCCUCCCAAGGCAGGGACUUUUGUGUCCUCUCGUUUGUUUUGCGGCCAAACGAGUGCAUGUGUACCCACUCCCCAAAAUAAAGUGUGGUUUAAAUGGGUCAACUACUUGUUAUUUAGGUCUAUAUAAAUCAAAUCGUAAUGCAUAGAUCGAGCAACACAUAUCUAAGAAUAUAUCCCAAAAUGAAAUCCUCCAAUGGUUUUACUUUGUUCUUGAUUGUUUUGUUUUCAGUUAUGCUCAUUUCUUCUUCAGGAAGAACCCAUCCUACAACAACCGUCCAGUCCAAAACACAGAAACAACCCAAAGGAGAUAAUAAAAGUGAAGCAGAAAAUGUAGCACAUACCAAUGGUGGAUGGGGCGGCUGUUCUGGUUGUUGGCCCCCGAAUCAAAAUAAUCGUCGUCUUCGAUAAACUAUAUCAUAUCAUGGAUGUACUCCUAAUAUAAUAUGAAUAAACGUACGAUGUCAAAAAUUCGAUCUGAA